rnacentral:rRNA from 1 species
UGAGCGGAGAUUAUGGAGCUUGCUUUAUAUAACUUAGCAGCGAACGGGUGAGUAACACGUAGAUAAUCUAUCCUAUACUGGGGGAUAGCCCGAUGAAAGUUGGAUUAAUACCGCAUAUAGCUAUAUAGUUGCAUGAUUAUGUAGUGAAAGAUUUAUUGGUAUAGGAGGAGUCUGCGGCACAUUAGCUAGUAGGUGAGGUAAAGGCUUACCUAGGCGACGAUGUGUAGCCGGUCUGAGAGGAUGAACGGCCACAAUGGAACUGAGACACAGUCCAUACUCCUACGGGAGGCAGCAGUGGGGAAUAUUGCACAAUGGGGGAAACCCUGAUGCAGCAACGCCGCGUGAGUGAAGAAGGUUUUCGGAUUGUAAAGCUCUGUUAGCAGGGAAGAGGAAGGACGGUACCUGCAGAGGAAGCCACGGCUAACUACGUGCCAGCAGCCGCGGUAAUACGUAGGUGGCAAGCGUUGUUCGGAAUAACUGGGCGUAAAGGAUGCGUAGGCGGUUAAACAAGUUAUAUGUUAAAUAUAUAGGCUUAACCUGUAGAAAGCAUAUAAAACUGUUUAACUAGAGUGCAGGAGAGGUAAGUGGACUUCCUAGUGUAGCGGUGAAAUGCGUAGAGAUUAGGAAGAACACCAGUGGCGAAGGCGACUUACUGGACUGUAACUGACGCUGAGGCAUGAGAGCAUGGGGAGCAAACAGGAUUAGAUACCCUGGUAGUCCAUGCUGUAAACGAUGGGUACUAGGUGUGGGUUG